GCGGCCGGUCCACGCCGGCAGAACCCAGGUCAAGGCCGCAGGGCCUGGCGCGGACCCCGCUCGGGUUUGAACGACUGCUCGUGAUGGGGCAGGAGCCUCAGGGAGCGCGCCGGCUUCCUCACUGAAGUUCCGGGAACCCUUUCAGAAUUCUUUAAGAUCCUCCUGGUCCUUCUCCGGAGAAAUACGACUUGCAGUUCUCCCCGUGGAACUGCCAGCCUCGGGUCGCUGUGACCUCCUGAGCUGGCCAUCCGGCAGCAGGCGUGGACUCUGUUAUGCACUGCGCCUCAAGGAUACCCACCGAACCGCAACGGGAACCUGGUUAUCCAGCCUCAUCUCUGUUGACGAAAAUAAUACUCGAAGCAGACUUGCCAGUUCCGGCCAAGAGGUGACCCCCACCAGGGUACCCUUGGGGACGAAUGGUGAGAAGGGGAAGGAAACCAAUUGUUACACUUGUUCUCACCCAGGGAGUGCUUCGACAGACACGCAGUGAGGCCUGGGCAGCAGAAUACUGGUGCGGAGUCUGCUCGGCGUCUUAACUGUAGUGUGCGUGGAAAGAAAACUGGAGGCUCGGACGCAGAACCAUCUCCAGAGAACCGCUUAUACAGGGCACUCCUGUAAUAGUUUGAGGACUCCUCAAAGGUUCAGUUCCAUGAGACUUUUUCUUCAUAAACAACUUGUAAAUUGGCCAGCUUUAUUGCUAAUUACACAUAAAAACAGGGUUUCUCUACACCGCUAGGUUAAUGGAAAAAUAAGCCACACGAGAAAAGCCCAACACAAUGAAAAACUUCUACUUCCAGAUAUUAAAAAAGAGGUAUUCGCCAUGGGUUACUACGAAAUGGGAUUGCCCACAUUUUGAUACAAUUCCUGAAAUUUCAGUCUGUAAUUUUGCUUACUGGGGCACCAUGUAGUAAGAUGGCAUCUUUGGAUGAAAUGUGGUAUAUUUAAAAUGUUGAUGGAGCACAAGGAGAUGACCUCUCAUUUUCAGAAGACAGUUAAAAGCAUUCCCACUAUACUCUGGAGUCUUAUAGUUUAAAUGGACUUGCCUUUCAAAUCAAGUGAUUUUUAUAGGGGUCUGAUAUUUAUGGACAGAAGUUUGUGGUUGAAGAAAUUCCCUUUGAGACUUUUAUCCCUAAAGAAAAUGAUUUAUGAAAACCUUUUAUGUAACCCCCAACUUUAAAUGUUUAGGUAUAUAGAUAGUAAAAAUUUAACUGUUGUUAAUUUUUUACCGACCUGUAAGUUGUCAGUUCAAAAUAUCGGUGGCUAUG